UAAAAGGACAUUGAGGGAAGCGGGAGAAAAAACUAUUAGUUUGGAUAAAACAGGUUUUGUGUGUAAUUAGAGGUCAUGUGACCAGAAAGACGUUAGAAGAAAGAUGUUACUAAUGUGGUGGAGAAAAGAUUGAACACAGUUAAGACCUGAUUUUACUUUAAUGUCCUCAUUUUAAUUUGUGUUAAAAAGUAAGAGGAAAUGAUGAGGGCAAUAUGUUUUUUUAAUUGUUAAGCAGCUGUUUGUUAUGCUGAAUGUUUGUGUUGUAUUAACUCUUAUUCAUGUCUUUCUCAUGCGAGAGCGAGGCCAGAGAAGCUCAGAUGAGAGAAGAGGCUCCGGUGGAGGAAAGCUUUCAGCCUCAAAAGGAGAAGAUGGUGCUGGAGUUUUGUGCAGGUGUUUAACUGGAGUUUCUCAGCAGAACAUUGAUUGAAAUGACCUGUGUAGAGUUCACACCUCUGUGGUGUUCAAAUGCCGAGCAAAACACAGGGCAUGAUGACUCUUCCACGCAUGCGCAGAAGGACACUUCCGGCCUUACGGACGUUACCGCGCGAUUUUUAUUUUUACUUGUCUGGAGUCAUCCGACAUUACGCUUAAAGGAAAGGUGAAAACACACAUAAUAUUAACUUACCGCUUAAAAGAAGCUUUUCAAUCUCCAUCCAGUUUAUAGUGCUUCUUAGUCCUCUGGUGGUAGAUCGCUAGUUUUUGUCCCAAAUUCCAUCAGUAAGUUAGGAGUUGUAGACUGUUCAUUCUAACGGACAUCAUUAGCGAGGGAUCUGUUUCGGUUCACUAGCUAGUUGGCAAUUUCAGUAGGCAGUGAAAUAACUAACACUUUGGUGGUAGCUAGCAAGUUAGCGAAUGUAGCUGUGUACAGAUUCAUUUGAAGAUGAUGCACUACUAAAAGGAAACAAGUCUGGUUGUGGUAAUGCUAGCUAAUAAGCUACACAUUAGCUGUUAGGGUGAUUUUUCUUAAAUGUACAGAGCCAAAGCAACACAAGUAGGGGAGAGUCAACUGGAAGAACUUGUUGAAAAACUGGAUGCCCAGGACACUGAUGCAUUGGGGCCGUGCACAAAGGGCAUGAAAAUGGGAAUCCUUGAAGUGGUAAAUGACUGCACUGCUCACUCAGGAUCAAAUUCCACGGUGGUCAAUGUGGCAGUCGUAUUGGAAGAGGAAGUAGUUAUGGACAAUCUGGGAGACUCCAUAAAAGCCUUCAUUCUCCUCUUUGGUCUGCUUUACGCUCUUAACAUAGAGUAUCCCAAGGACUUAAGGUACACCUUUGAAGCCGUCCAGAAAAUCUUUGUGAACCUUGGAAGUGAGUGCACUGCAAGAGUGCAGUCUCUAAAGAACAAAUUAUUGCAGCUGUAAUUUAAACAUUUUCAUGCCAGUGAUUAUUUUUGGCAAUACUGCAGUUGGAAACAGAUGUCUGACAAUUAUUUGAAUUUGAAUUGAGUUGCUGAACAGCAUGGUUGAACUUUCACACCAGAUGUUUGACAGACUUGAAUUUUUCUUAGAAUUGUUGAAUUUGGUUUUACAUGGUUGAACUUUUGCACAAGAUGUUUCAGAAAUCCAUUCAUUUAAAUGAACAAAAAUCAUUUAAUUAAUCCUUUAUUUUAAUGUCUUUUAAACGGUACUGUAAGGAACCAAAUUUCUUUUGAUCUAAAGCAAAGGCAUUUGAUUUUGAAGUGAACCUGUAAGACCUUUAGAUGGAGAAGUGAAAUUAGUAAGCUUUGUAAAUCAGAGUUCUCAUGCACUUUUCUGCAGUUCAAACCAGUUUGCUCUAGGUGAUAUUAUUGCGUAGUCUGGUACUAAAAUGCAGUAAUGAUAUAUUUCAUUUACAUAUGUAUUACUUUAACAUGCAGUGUGCACAUAUUCUGUUUUAAAUUGUUCUUUUGUACACAGAACGUCCAGUUCAAAUCAGGAUGCUGUAAAAUAAAUGUAUGUAAAAUAUACAUACAGAAUUUUCUAACUGCACUUGAGCUUUUACAAUGUAUUGUAUCUCUUGUAUUCUGUUUUGCACAGUUCUGUUGUAUGCAGUACUUUUGUGCAGUUCUACACUGUAUGCUCUUACAGAUCUUAUUAAAAAUCAUUUAAUAAUUUACCAUA